ACCCAAAUAAGUCCUCAUUAAUUAUUCAUACACUAUUUUACAGAAAUAGUGAGGACAGCUAAAACAUCUUCCUAGAACCAUCACUCCAUACCCCGACUCGAUCCUGCUAUGUUCUCACCUCCUGAGAAGAAAAAUGGAACAAAAAGGAAAAGGGUGAGCUCAACUAGCCCAGUAAAGAAUAUUAUGACUAAGAUAAUAUACAACAAAUUAUCGUUAGUCUUCAACAGGGAAAAAUCUAAUAGAAUACAAUAGACAACAAGUUUUAGAUCAACAAAUGCAGCGGAAACAGCAAUCCAUUAGAAGAGUCACGUAGAGAAAGAAUUCUACUGUCUUCUAAGGUUUAAAAGUCCAUCAUCAAUAGUUUAUCCCUGUAAUAACAAUCAAUAUACAUCUUUAAUCAUCUUUGCACUACAGGCCAAAGAUAUUCAUUUGUAUCACCAGUUGGUCAUGUUCAUCUCAACACCUGUUCAUCUUUGCACUACAGGCCAAAGAUAUUCAUCAGUUAAUCGUUCAUCUUUGCACUACAGGCCAAAGAUAUUCAUUUAUAUCACCAUUUAGGACUGAGGAUGAUGAAAAACAUUUUUAAAGAAACGAAUCCAGUGAAACAAAAUGACAAGGAUUAAGGAUUAAGGAUUCGUACUUUGUUUUACCCAUGUCCAAAAAUACUUCGAAAAUAAUCAUAUUGGUGUAAAAUUCAAGAAUGAUCAAAACAUGGAUACAAUCAAAGCUAGUAUCCAGAAUAGAUAUUUUGGACAAAAAGAAAAAUUUUUAUUUUUCGGUGAAUAGUGCCGUAUUCGUGAAUAGUGUCGUAUACGUGAAUAGUGCCGUAUACGUGAAUAGUAACCCCGACACAACAAGUUCCAAAUUUGAUAAAAAAGUUCACCAAUACUUCGGCAUAAUGAUAUUGAAGAAAAAAUAUCAUUUAAGAAGAAAAUAAUACCCCUUACCUCAAAAUAACCGUACUUCUGACUGAAUUUCGGUAUAGUGCUGACAGAAACCCACACUGUAUAGCAACACUCAAAGUAUACUCACAAGAAUACACUCGAUAAUUUAG
rnacentral:lncRNA from 1 species